rnacentral:sRNA from 1 species
ACGCGAAUCAAAGUGUCGUUCAGGGGAGAUAAUGAGACGUGUGGCUGUUACAGUCCUUGUAGUGAAAGAAUAUUUGAUACAUAUGUGUCGUCCAGAACUUGGCCAAAUAAUGACUUGCUGUCUGUGUUAGUUAAAGAUGUGUGCACUACAAAUGUAGACAUUUGCCAGAAACUGAAAAAUAAAUCGGAACUUGAAAUUAGGUAAGCAUUUC